UACGUAGGGGGCUAGCGUUGUCCGGAUUUAUUGGGCGUAAAGGGCUCGUAGGCGGUCCAUCACGUCGGGAGUGAAAAGCUGGGGCUUAACCCCAGUCCUGCUUCCGAUACGGGUGGACUAGAGGUAGGCAGGGGAGAACGGAAUUCCUGGUGUAGCGGUGAAAUGCGCAGAUAUCGGGAAGAACACCCGUGGCGAAGGCGGCUCUCUGGGACGGUACUGACGCUGAGACGCGAAAGCGUGGGGAGCGAACAGG
rnacentral:rRNA from 1 species